rnacentral:ncRNA from 1 species
ACCAAGGAGUCUAACAUGUGCGCGAGCCGCGGGGCAGUACGAAACCCGUAAGGCGAAAUGAAGGUGAACGCCGGCGCGGUCCGGCGGAGGUUGGAUCCCGUCCCGUCGGGGCGGGCGCACUACCGGCCGAUCUUCUCCGCCCUGUCGGCGAGGUCGAGCGAGAGCGUGCAAGUCGGGACCCGAAAGAUGGUGAACUAUGCCUGAGGAGGUUGAAGCCAGAGGAAACUCUGGUGGAGGACCGUAGCGAUUCUGACGUGCAAAUCGAUCGUCAAAUUUGGGUAUAGGGGCGAAAGACUAAUCGAAGCGUCUAGUAGCUGGUUCCCUUCGAAGUUUCCCUCAGGAUAGCUGGCGCUCUGUCGCAGUUUUAUCUGGUAAAGCGAAUGAUUAGAGGUCUUGGGGGCGAAACGCCCUCAACCUAUUCUCAAACUUUAAAUUGGUAAGAAGCCCGACUCGCUCGUUUGGAGCCGGGCAUGGAAUGCGAGUGCCAAGUGGGCCACUCUUGGUAAGCAGGACUGGCGAUGCGGGAUGAACCGAACGCCGGGUUAAGGCGCCCGACGCGACGCUCAUCAGAGCCCACAAAAGGUGUUGGUUGAUAUAGACAGCAGGACGGUGGCCAUGGAAGUCGGAAACCGA